UACAGAGGGUGCAAGCGUUGUUCGGAAUUACUGGGCGUAAAGCGCGCGUAGGCGGCUCUGUACGUUAGAGGUGAAAGCCCGGAGCUCAACUCCGGAACUGCCUUUAAGACUGCAUCGCUAGAACGUCGGAGAGGUAAGUGGAAUUCCGAGUGUAGAGGUGAAAUUCGUAGAUAUUCGGAAGAACACCAGUGGCGAAGGCGACUUACUGGACGACUGUUGACGCUGAGGUGCGAAAGCGUGGGGAGCAAACAGG
rnacentral:rRNA from 1 species